rnacentral:tRNA from 1 species
GCCGAAGUGGUGAAAUUGGCAUACACGCAGCGUUCAGGGCGCUGUUCCCUUUGGGAUUGUGGGUUCGACUCCCACCUUCGGCA